UNCCAUUAAGACACUAAAUGGAAGUGUUGC
rnacentral:piRNA from 1 species